rnacentral:rRNA from 1 species
CCUACGGGAGGCAGCAGUGGGGAAUCUUAGACAAUGGGCGCAAGCCUGAUCUAGCCAUGCCGCGUGAGUGAUGAAGGCCUUAGGGUCGUAAAGCUCUUUCGCCUGUGAUGAUAAUGACAGUAGCAGGUAAAGAAACCCCGGCUAACUCCGUGCCAGCAGCCGCGGUAAUACGGAGGGGGUUAGCGUUGUUCGGAAUUACUGGGCGUAAAGCGCACGUAGGCGGAUUGGAAAGUUGGGGGUGAAAUCCCGGGGCUCAACCCUGGAACUGCCUCCAAAACUAUCAGUCUAGAGUUCGAGAGAGGUGAGUGGAAUUCCAAGUGUAGAGGUGAAAUUCGUAGAUAUUUGGAGGAACACCAGUGGCGAAGGCGGCUCACUGGCUCGAUACUGACGCUGAGGUGCGAAAGUGUGGGGAGCAAACAGGAUUAGAUACCCUGGUAGUCCACACCGUAAACGAUGAAUGCCAGUCGUCGGGCAGUAUACUGUUCGGUGACACACCUAACGGAUUAAGCAUUCCGCCUGGGGAGUACGGUCGCAAGAUUAAAACUCAAAGGAAUUGACGG